rnacentral:rRNA from 1 species
AUUGAACGCUGGCGGCAUGCCUUACACAUGCAAGUCGAACGGCAGCACGGACUUCGGUCUGGUGGCGAGUGGCGAACGGGUGAGUAAUGUAUCGGAACGUACCUUUCAGUGGGGGAUAACGUAGCGAAAGUUACGCUAAUACCGCAUAUUCUGUGAGCAGGAAAGCAGGGGAUCGCAAGACCUUGCGCUGAUUGAGCGGCCGAUAUCAGAUUAGCUAGUUGGUGGGGUAAAGGCCUACCAAGGCUACGAUCUGUAGCGGGUCUGAGAGGAUGAUCCGCCACACUGGAACUGAGACACGGUCCAGACUCCUACGGGAGGCAGCAGUGGGGAAUUUUGGACAAUGGGGGCAACCCUGAUCCAGCCAUGCCGCGUGAGUGAAGAAGGCCUUCGGGUUGUAAGACUCUUUCGGCCGGGAAGAAAUCGCAUAGGCUAAUACCCUCGUGUGGAGUGACGGUACCGGAAUAAGAAGCACCGGCUAACUACGUGCC